AUGAGAAGGAGCAACUUUCAAGUGUUUCAAGACAACCACUUUGAAGUCAAAGAAAAAUAUCUACAAUCAUCAAAGGAACUACAUAUCCUCUUCUCUGGGAUCUAUGGAAGAGGCGACUAUUCCAAUGGGUCAUCAACCAAGAUCUCAUCAGCCUUUAUUGUUGCCUUAGUAUUCAGAGAAGAUACGGUCCCAUCACCUCUACAUCAUCCUAGCUAUCCAUCGCUACAUUUUGCCGACCUCGAAUGUCCUAGUAUGGCGCUACUUCAAGAUCAUUGGGCUCACAACUAUUAG